UACGAAGGGGGCUAGCGUUGCUCGGAAUCACUGGGCGUAAAGCGCACGUAGGCCGAUUGUUAAGUCAGGGGUGAAAUCCUGGAGCUCAACUCCAGAACUGCCUUUGAUACUGGGAGUCUCGAGUCCGGGAGAGGUGAGUGGAACUGCGAGUGUAGAGGUGAAAUUCGUAGAUAUUCGCAAGAACACCAGUGGCGAAGGCGGCUCACUGGCCCGGUACUGACGCUGAGGUGCGAAAGCGUGGGGAGCAAACAGGG
rnacentral:rRNA from 1 species